GAAAUGCGAUAAGUAAUGUGAAUUGCAGAAUUCAGUGAAUCAUCGAAUCUUUGAACGCACCUUGCGCUCCUUGGCUAUUCCGAGGAGCAUGCCUGUUUGAGUGUCAUGUUAAUAUCAACUCUGAUGGUUUUUGUUAACCAUUGGAUGUUGGACUUGGAGGUUCGUGCUGGCUGCAAAGUCGGCUCCUCUUGAAUGCAUUAGCUUGGACCUGUGCGCGUUUGCUAGCGGUGUAAUACAUUUUAUUCACCACGGGCCGUGUCACUAUUAGGGUCUGCUUCUAAUCGUCCUUACCGGACAAUAUAAACUUUAUGACUCUGACCUCAAAUCAGGUAGGACUACCCGCUGAACUUAA
rnacentral:rRNA from 1 species